CAGCAGGGCUCCGGAAUUUCUGUGGUCGCUGCCGCCCCACUGGCUCCCGGGUGGACACUAACACCGUGACACAGAGAAUGCUCUGCCGCUCUCCGUGCCCUGGCGUGGGACCGUGACAGGUCUCCAAGAUGUGUUAGGAAGUGAAAAGGCCAAGGAGCAGAGCAGUGUGGUCAGGAGGCCGCCGCUGACGAAAGGGAGCAGUAGUCACGUGGACCUGCAGGCUGAAGGCUCUGCGGCAGGACGGCGGGAGUCUGAGGAGCAGCAGGCCAGGCCCAAGUGUGGCCGUGACCUCUGAGCGGUAGCAAGCCCAUGGGACACAGAGUGUUCGCAGGGCUGGGGCUCAAAACAUCCGACCAGAAAAAGUCCCUGAGGAGCCACUGAAGAAAGGGCCACGCAGCUGUCUAAGGCUUCAGUCCCUCCUGGAGCUGGCAGCACAGAGCUCUGGACCAGCCCCAGGACCAGGGGACGAGGGGAAAUGCAGACCCUGGCGCCUCCUGGUCUUGGAGCCACGGCUUUCCGCUGCUCGACUCUGGCUCUAUCCCAUCUCUGAGGCCUCGGUGGCCAGGGAGGAAUGCUGUGGCCUGGUACACCUUGGAGACUCAGAGCUCACGGGAGCCAAGCUCUCCAUUUUACGGGGUGAGAAUCAGAUGCCAAGGUGGCUGCCAAAGCGCUUGGAAAAUCAGAGGCUCCUCACGACCACAGGAGAGCACUAUUAUGCCCAAAGAACGCCGGUGGACCCCACCUAGGCCAGGUCCCAGGGCCACGAGAGAAAACAAACACGUGGCCCUUCCCGGCCUGCUGGUCUGUUGGGGGUUGGCAGUGUCCGGCACCCAUCCUGACCUGGAGGGAGAGCGGAGCCCCUCAGAGCUGAAGGGCCUCCGUGGGCAGGAGGGACCUCAGUGACCAGCGCUGCUCUGGGCGGCUUUCUGGAGGACGUGAAUCACCACGAGGAAAUGAGGCUUUUGAAGUAAGCCCUGGAGUCACUUAGAGAGUCCGUGAGCUGCUCCUGGCCCACACCAACCCUCCCAAGUCCCCUACGGGGCUUUUUCAUCACCACACAUCCCUGUACUUGCCCUUGCAGACAGCCCAGGCAGUCAGUGACUGCCCCUGCCCAUGGGCAAAAAGGGCCCCCAGCAAAAACAGUGCAGAGGCGGGUCCCAAACAUGGGACUUUCCCCUCGGAUACACGCUCAAGACCAAACGUGGACCCUGCCAGCAUCCCCCAGAUGUCUGUGGUCCUCCCCCUCUCUCUCCCCAUCCCUCCCCGGCUCUACCUAUAUGACACGCACAUGCAGAUGGCCCUUUUAUGUCUCCCGGGAUCAAAGAGUUGGCUUUGGAAGAAAGACUUGCGGCUUGAAGCCACCCAGAGCCCGGCCUGCACAAAGGGCCUUUCCCACAAGCCCCUCCCAUGCGCUGCGGCCGUGGGCACCCACACCUGCCCGGCCCGGGCCACCCGCCCCUCCCCCGCCCCUACGCACACGCCACACUGCUGCUCCCCAAGCACGGUCCUCUCCGCUUCUGUCGGGUAAUUUGUCUGUGAAAUCCGUUGUCCCCGCUGGGUCAGGCACUGUUAUGUCUCAGAACGAUGAGAAAGGGAGAAAGACAAAGAGAGACGGGGAGAGGAUGGCAGAGAGACAGACAGCACGUGAGGGGGAGAAACGCUGGCAGACAGAGAGAGUGGACAGAGGCGGAGGAAAAGCAGACAGCGGGACCCCCACCGGCCACAGAGGAGACGCGGGAGCAGAGAGAAGCAGAGAGAGGAACGGCACAGACAGGCAGCGAAGACGAGGUGGAUGAGGCAUAAAAGGGAUGGAUUUGUUAAAAGACAGGCCAGAAAUGAAGAGGGAAGAGGAAGACAGGGAAAGCAGGGGAACUGCUGUAGAGACAGAGACGGGCCAGAGGAAGAGCGGUGAGGCCCCCAGAGCUCGGGCACAGGGGCAGCGGGGGCCCUGGGUGGGGCCUGAGUGCCACGGCCAGCCCCCACCCUCACUCCCCGCUCCCACCGCCAAGUUUCUCUCCUGCUCCUCUGGGCCCCCAGGACUCCCAACCCAGACAAGACUCAAUGGAGGCCUCUGGGACAAAGCGGUGGGAGGAGGAGGGAGGGACGAGGGCCUGGAGCUGGCAGACCUGGAGGAGAGAAGGGUCAGGGGCAGCGCGAUCAGGAAUCUCUGCAGCACCCCCUCACCGUAGUCUCGACCCACCACCCAGCGCUGACAGCGUCCCGGGCUGGAAUCCAGAGGGAGCUGGGGCAGGAAGACAGGUACUUCUAGGGCAAGUUCUCCAGGCCUUGCCACCUUCCCGCCACCACGUCCUGAGACGGCACAGCCAGUCCCUCCUGCUGACCCCCACCGACACACGGCCUGGCCCUUCACGGUCUCUGGAGUGGAAGGACCUAGACUUUCUGAAGCCAGGACCCCUGGGUCCUCCGUUCCCACCCUGUCGCCACCUGACUGGGUGACCUUGAGCCCGUGACUUCUUCCCUCUGAGCCUCAUUUUCCUUAUCUGUGAAGUGGGAAAUCAGCACGGCGCCUGCCUCAGAGGCUGGCUGUGAGGAUUAAGUAAGAUAAAGGUGACCGUGUGCCCAGCACGGCUCCUGGCACCGAGGAAGGGAGUGGCCGAGGUGGCCCUGGUCCUGGCUGUGGCCCGUGGCAGGCGCAGGGGCUGACGGCUGGUGAGGGGUAAGAACGCCGGCCCUGCCUGACUCACGGGGACUUGGCGAGACUGAUAAAAGCCACGGGAUGGGAAAGGCGUCCCCGCCAGCGAUGUUCGGGCUCGCCCAGGCCGAGCCGGGGCCCUGCCAUCCGGCGGCUUCUCCGCUAGGUGCAGCGGGCACAGCGCCAGCCCGUGGUACUUUUAGAGGCCCGUGAAAUUUUCUGAUUUAUUUUAAAAUCAGAAGGAA